rnacentral:rRNA from 1 species
AACGAACGCUGGCGGCAGGCUUAACACAUGCAAGUCGAACGCCCCGCAAGGGGAGUGGCAGACGGGUGAGUAACACGUGGGAACGUACCCUUUACUACGGAAUAACGCAGGGAAACUUGUGCUAAUACCGUAUGUGCCCUUUGGGGGAAAGAUUUAUCGGUAAAGGAUCGGCCCGCGUUGGAUUAGCUAGUUGGUGGGGUAAAGGCCUACCAAGGCGACGAUCCAUAGCUGGUCUGAGAGGAUGAUCAGCCACAUUGGGACUGAGACACGGCCCAAACUCCUACGGGAGGCAGCAGUGGGGAAUAUUGGACAAUGGGCGCAAGCCUGAUCCAGCCAUGCCGCGUGAGUGAUGAAGGCCUUAGGGUUGUAAAGCUCUUUCACCGGAGAAGAUAAUGACGGUAUCCGGAGAAGAAGCCCCGGCUAACUUCGUGCCAGCCGCCGCGGUAAUAC